rnacentral:rRNA from 1 species
AUCCUCCAAGGCUAAAUACUCCUGACUGACCGAUAGUGAACCAGUACCGUGAGGGAAAGGCGAAAAGAACCCCGGCGAGGGGAGUGAAAAAGAACCUGAAACCGUGUACGUACAAGCAGUGGGAGCACGCUUAGGCGUGUGACUGCGUACCUUUUGUAUAAUGGGUCAGCGACUUAUAUUCUGUAGCAAGGUUAACCGAAUAGGGGAGCCGAAGGGAAACCGAGUCUUAACUGGGCGUUAAGUUGCAGGGUAUAGACCCGAAACCCGGUGAUCUAGCCAUGGGCAGGUUGAAGGUUGGGUAACACUAACUGGAGGACCGAACCGACUAAUGUUGAAAAAUUAGCGGAUGACUUGUGGCUGGGGGUGAAAGGCCAAUCAAACCGGGAGAUAGCUGGUUCUCCCCGAAAGCUAUUUAGGUAGCGCCUCGUGAAUUCAUCUCCGGGGGUAGAGCACUGUUUCGGCAAGGGGGUCAUCCCGACUUACCAACCCGAUGCAAACUGCGAAUACCGGAGAAUGUUAUCACGGGAGACACACGGCGGGUGCUAACGUCCGUCGUGAA